UACGUAGGCAGCGAGCGUUGUUCGGAGUUACUGGGCGUAAAGAGUGCGUAGGCGGUGUUCCAAGUCUGUUGUGAAAUCUCCCGGCUUAACUGGGAGGGUGCGGCGGAAACUGGAAUGCUGGAGUGUGGGAGAGGUAAGCGGAAUUCCCGGUGUAGCGGUGAAAUGCGUAGAUAUCAGGAGGAACACCGGUGGCGAAGGCGGAUCUCUGGGCCUUACCUGACGCUCAGGUGCGAAAGCUAGGGGAGCGAACAGG
rnacentral:rRNA from 1 species